CACGGAGUUAGCCGGAGCUUACAAAUGGUACCGUCAUCAUAGGGGGUAUUGUCCCCUACUAAUUCUUCCCAUUCUUGCGAAGUUUACAUCCCGAGGGAUUUCAUCCUUCACGCGGCGUUGCUGGGUCAGGCUUUCGCCCAUUGCCCAAAAUUCCCGACUGCUG
rnacentral:rRNA from 1 species